UACGUAGGGGCGAGCGUUGUCCGGAUUUACUGGGCGUAAAGGGUGAGUAGGCGGUUAUAUAUGUCAGGUGUAAAAGGCUAUGGCUUAACCAUGGUUAGCACUUGAAACUGUAUGACUUGAGUGCAGGAGAGGUAAGUGGAAUUCCUAGUGUAGCGGUGAAAUGCGUAGAUAUUAGGAGGAACACCAGUGGCGAAGGCGACUUACUGGACUGUAACUGACGCUGAGUCACGAAAGCGUGGGUAGCAAACAGGAUUAGAUACCCGGGUAGUCCCUGA
rnacentral:rRNA from 1 species